rnacentral:rRNA from 1 species
CAGCAGCCACGGUAAUACGUAGGUGGCAAGCGUUGUCCGGAAUUAUUGGGCGUAAAGGGCUCGCAGGCGGUUUCUUAAGUCUGAUGUGAAAGCCCCCGGCUCAACCGGGGAGGGUCAUUGGAAACUGGGAAACUUGAGUGCAGAAGAGGAGAGUGGAAUUCCACGUGUAGCGGUGAAAUGCGUAGAGAUGUGGAGGAACACCAGUGGCGAAGGCGACUCUCUGGUCUGUAACUGACGCUGAGGAGCGAAAGCGUGGGGAGCGAACAGGAUUAGAUACCCCAGUAGUCCCUGUCUCUUAUAC